CUUCUCCAGUGUGAACCCAGCUGCCCUUUAAGGUCAGCCAGGAGAAGCUGGCUCAAAGUAUCAUCUAUACAUGCAAAGAGAAUACAGCUGAAAGUGUGGGCCUGAGCUUUCUCAGUUGUAGCUCUUGCUUCCCUAGGUGAUGAACUGCCAUGGAUACAAAACAGGCAAAGAUUCUCAAUUUCUGGAGGGACUAUUCCAAUGAAGGUUCAUCAUUGCUCUGACCCAGCAGGAAGAGCUACAAUAUUCAGGCUUCCAUUUGCUCAGAUUUCAACGUGUUGCUACAUAAUCCCCAGUACAAUCAAAAGUGUGUCAAAAAUCUAUACCAAAAUACCUUUUGAUGAGGAAGAUAAAAGGACCCUCUAUCUUGAGUUUCAUUUGAAUCGCAUGCUGAGGCUAUCAAAGGUAGACACAGGCAACAUCGCAGUAAUUGAUGGUGCCAUGGCAGAAAUAACCCGUCUGUGCCAUCAGAAGAAUACAGAAAAGGGCUCAUAUUGGCAAGAUGUUUCAAGGCACCAAGAAGCACAAAGUCAUGUUAAUUUCAGGAUAAAUUUGCCUGCCUGAAUUACCCAUCGUUACCAUGGCCACAUAAACAAAAUUGCUUUGUCUGUUCUUACUCAGCUUUGCUUUGGGUUUUGUCCUUCGGAUAUUUACAAGGUCACUGCAAGAGAUCUUGGAGCAGAGUUUGGAAGCGCUAGUUUUUUAAGCCAUAACUCCCAGAAUCUGGCCAGGUGAAAUAGUCUAUGGCCAUUCUGACUGGGGGCAUUCUGAGAACAAUAGCUCCUUCCCCCCCCCCCAUUUUUUUCAAGUUCUGAAAAAUGAGUAGGUCUUGCUGGUAUGAUGGAAGUAGUACUAGAAAGAAACUGGGUGGUUGGCAGUCUUCAUGUGUUGUGCUCGUCCAUUGUCUGUAGGAUUGUAGAACAGGGUGCACAGAGAAUUCAGGGUGAAUGGGCUGUCAAUGUCAACAUGAUGUCUGUGGCAUGGAGACAGAUUCUGUAAAUCUUGAGUGCUGUCCUUUCCCCAGGUGAGACGCAAGUACAGGAGACACUGGCAGUGACUGUGGGUGAGUAGGUAACACUUCACACUUGAUGCAACACUUUGCUGCAGCUCUGAUUGGAUAGUUCAUUGAAUCUUGGUUUGUUUUUGUUUGUUUUUUAAAGAGAAUGAAAAAGUAUUUGUGUCCUGUCAAUUUGCUCCUUUCCUUUUUUUUGUAU
rnacentral:lncRNA from 1 species